UUAUUUUCGGUCAAAAUUUUGAUUCUAUUUACAUUUAAUUUAAUUUAUCUAAAAGUUGUUCUAUUAAUUGUUGACCUUGUUUUAUAAAUUAACAAUUAAUCAUUUGUAGUGUCACCUGUAGAAUGAAUCUAUUGAUGGUCAUUCGUUUUACUUUAUCAAUUGAAUUGAUUGAUCUUCUUCCUCUUCUUGUUUGGAUAAAUACAUUUACAUAUGGACGUUGAUGGUAAUGUUAUUAUGUUGAAUUUUAAUUAUCCAAAAGGACAUUACCUUGUUAAUUGGUUUCAAAUGAAAGCCAAAAGUUAAGGUUGGUAUCAAUACGUUUUCACUUAUUGGAUUAAAGAGAAACUCUUUUGAUGAUCACUUUUAAUGAGAUAAUGGUUUUUGAUCGCAAUUAGAGGAUAUGUACUGAAGGACCUUUCAUUUCCGUAUGAUGCCCAGAUAAUGAUGAUUGGUAAAGAUGUUUAGGCUUGGCAAUCGAAAGUAUUAUAAUGAGAGAGAGAGGGAGGGAGAGAGAAAUACAAAAAAGUUCAGUUUUCAUUGAAUCAGGAAGAGCUGAUGUAAUGGCAAUGAGAUCGUUUUUAUCGGUUUUUUUUUGUUCUGAUGAUGGUAUUAGAAGGCAGAUCAAGUGUAUGAUAAACGAUUGUAUGAUCUAUCAUUCAUAGAAAUUCAAUUACACUAGAUUGUAUUCACCACGAACACUUAAUGAAAAUGAUGCAACUACUUAGGAAUCACUUACCAGCCACACAAUAGGAAGAGUUAAAUAGAAACUCAAAUAAUUAUAAUAAUAGCUAAUAAUUGCUGUUGCAAAUCCAAGGCGUACUCACAAUACUCUACACACUUAUCGGAAUUAAAUCAUAAAUUGUGAAGAAAAAGCUUCUAUCCCAAUACAAACAUCGGACAUAACCAAUUAUAAGAUUAAUCAAGAAAAGUUAAUCAUUAUUAACAUAAUUACGAAUAAUUAUGUCAGUUCUCUCUCUCUCUCUCUCUCUCUCUCUCUCUGGAUAAAGAGUAUGAGACCUACAAUGAAUUUGAAUUGACCACUACCACCAAUCAGGCGUUGACAUAAUAUAAUCAUAAAUCAAAUUUGAUAAUUAUACCAACUGAUAAAUGCGAGGCAAGGUAAAAAAAUAUCAACACAAUUGUUUAUGAGGAGAGGGAGACCAGCAAAUUGUAAACAGAAGCCAAUUUAUUGUUGUUGACCAGGAACAUUAUGAUUAACACCAAUGAUUAGCACCAAGGAUUACGGAUUAUUGAAGGUACUUUUGGAAACAUGGAAUCGUGUAAAUUAAUCAUGAUGAUGAUUUAAUUAUAUUGUAAUAAUCGAUUGGUGAAGAUGUUUCAAUAAGAAUUGCGAUGAGGAUGAGGAUGAGGAUGAUAAUUAACUGAUGAUGUACUUACAUUAAUCGGGUUGAUUGUUAAUUGAUAUGAAAUGAGCGUAAAAGUGACGAUCAAAUUAAUUAUUUUUACCGAUUCAAUUGCUGUUUAAACCAGAAGAAUCAAAUUGGCAUCGCUUCCUUUAAAAUCACAGUUGGAGAUAAAUUGUUAAUCAAUUUGAAAGGAAUCACGGUUCGAUAAUCAAAUCAAUGUUUUAAACGAUAAUCGAUAAACCAAAUCGCAGAAAAUUUUGUCGUAAUUGUUAAAACAAAAGAGAGAUGAUCAUUAGAUUAAUCAUAUUAAUCAUCUUUUUCAUUUGUAUCAAUUUAAAUCUCAAACCAUUUGAUUGUCGACUUUUGGACAAGUUUUGUUUUGGACAAAUUGACCAUUGAAUUUGACCGAAUAUUAAUGAUCUUCGUAGGUCAAUUCGAGGAGAAAUUCGAAGAGUUUUAUUUGUCCGUUCGUUCAAAACAAACAUUGGAACGAUUGAAAAGUAACAAUAUUAAUCUUGAGAAUUGAUUGAAUUUCUUGCUGAUUAGAAGUAAAUUAAUACGAUGAUUAAUUGCUUCCAAAUCCAAUGAAAGGUUAAUCCAAGAUUAAUUAUGAAAUAAACUCUAUAACCCUGAA